ensembl:lncRNA
CUCAAAUUUACGUCAAGACCGCAGGGCUGCCUCUUAGGCGCCUGCAUCUGUGGAAAGGGUGUCAGCGCUCGCAGAUCACGCGGAACUUCCAUGAAGAGAAUAAGGAAGAACUCCACAUGAGAAGGUUCUCAUUGCAAGGAAGAAAAGAAUGGGGGUCUCGCAGGCAUAUUCUAGGAAGCUGUGAGCUCGGCGCUUCUGAGGGGAGUGGGGCGGGACAUCCUCUGCGGAAGCCCCCCGUUUCCGUGACGUCCAAAGAAGGGGCGGGCCUGGUUCCGGCCUGGGCGGGAGUCGGUGAGGCUGACCGUGGCGAUGCUGUGCGGGGAAAAAGUGUUACCGCCCAUUUAUUGUGAGCUGUGAUGCUGGGGACAGGAGUUAGGUUUCCUUUUUGUGCAGGAAGCAGUGGAAUGAGGCUUUCUCUCUCACCUUCUCUCCUAACAGGGCAAGGAGGGGUGGCACUUGGGGUCCCGGUUACGGGGACGGUGGCGAAGUCGGGUCCCUGGAAGUCCGCUUCCCGGGUGACUGCCUGCCCGGGGCCGGAGAAUCCCGCCCUGCACCCCUUUCCUUCCAGCUUGGUUCGGUUGUCUAACUGUGGGGUCAAGUUAGGCAGCGUUAUGGCACACCCAGGCGGGGGAGGAGGACUCUGGCUUGAGGGAUGUAAAGACAGUAUCUGAGGAAGAAACGCUCAUCCUUGGCUUGCCUUUACUUGUUCGACUACUGGCAAUUUACUUUACCUUUUUUUUUACUCAUCCUUGGGGAGCGUUCCGGAAGGAAAACUCACUUUUUUUUUUCGUUUCACCACCUCGCCAGCUUAAGUGCGAAGUCAAACGUUAAUAAAAGUAAAGAUAGCCUUAAUUUGUUAUUGAGGUUUUGUUUUGUUUGGGGGGGCGCGAAAUUAUGCUCAGAGACUGAGAUUGUAUUUGCCAGUUUUUAACACAAGUUCGCUGUGGGAUUUAUAGUCGUUUCACAAACCAGUAGCAUGCAGAUUAAGAUGUCUCUUAAUAAGCCAAUAAAAAUAAUAGCAUAACAUAACGUACUCCAGUGAUAGAUGAAUCAUGUUAUUGUUCCAGGCAAGGAGAGAUGACAGAAAUAAGUGCGGCUGAGGUGUACCUUUUUAUACGGUAGGCGCUCAAGAGAGAUGGCUUGGCUAACCGAGAGCUGGCGUCCUGCUGCCGCCUCAAAAGGAAAGUGAAAAGGCCUCUGUUGCUGGAGCCGCUUGCUAGGGGACUACCGCUCGGAUGUUGGCAGCACAAGAUUUUCUCGAGGGCUUUUGCCACUGCUGCUUAGAGUGGCCUUUACCAUGGCAGGAGCUCAUGCCCCAGGGGUUUCGGAGAGCUGGCAGUCACACAUUGCUUCCGCUUACUUAACAGGGGUUGUCAUUGCAGCACAAGGAAGGCCUUGUCUCGUGUGUACCUUACUUUGGCGACCGCACGUGUAAGCACUCCCGGGGCAGUGAAACGCUGAAGUCAAACUAAUCCUCAGUCUCCUGGAAACCCAUGUAGUUCUUCACUGUUUUAUGAGAACCACUCAGGUCAAAGGAGUGAGAAUUGCUGGAGUGGGUGUCCCCUGGGCAUGGGACAAAGAAUGAGUAAGCAGGACAUUUUUUUGAACUGUCAUAUUUUAUCUUAAAAAAAAUAGGACUUUUUGAAGUUUUCUCCAUGACGUAUCUGUGUAUUUUAAUGUGAAGGUAAUAUUCUCUCAUCCAAAGAGAAAAAAAAACUUUGAAUAAAACUGCUUUCCUAAAUCACAUGCUUUAUGCAUUCUUUUGCUUCCAGAAUGUCCCUGGUGCCCUGAGUCUUUAUCCCAAGGAAGGCUCACCUGCUGUUUGAGAAGAAUCAGUACUCUUGUAAUUGUGUUUUGAAGUGAAUUUUAACUUAACACUAUAAAAGGAUAAUUACUAUAUUCAGCACAUACUACCAGAUUGUCACACUUUUAUCUGCUUACAUAUCUGCCACAUUUUAAAGAAGAA